rnacentral:rRNA from 1 species
GACGAACGCUGGCGGCGUGCCUAAUACAUGCAAGUAGAACGCACAGUUUAUACCGUAGCUUGCUACACCAUAAACUGUGAGUUGCGAACGGGUGAGUAACGCGUAGGUAACCUGCCUGGUAGCGGGGGAUAACUAUUGGAAACGAUAGCUAAUACCGCAUAAUAUUGAUUAUUGCAUGAUAAUUGAUUGAAAGAUGCUAUUGCAUCACUACCAGAUGGACCUGCGUUGUAUUAGCUAGUAGGUGAGGUAACGGCUCACCUAGGCGACGAUACAUAGCCGACCUGAGAGGGUGAUCGGCCACCCUGGGACUGGGACACGGCCCAGACUCCUACGGGAGGCAGCAGUAGGGAAUCUUCGGCAAUGGACGAAAGUCUGACCGAGCAACGCCGCGUGAGUGAAGAAGGUUUUCGGAUCGUAAAGCUCUGUUGUAAGGGAAGAACGGGUGUGAGAGUGGAAAGUUCACACUGUGACGGUAUCUUACCAGAAAGGGACGGCUAACUACGUG